UGCCUAAAUAGCUCAGUUGGUAGAGCAACGCAUUCGUAACGCGUAGGUCGUCGGUUCGAUCCCGGCUUUGGGC
rnacentral:tRNA from 2 species